GUCGGGGUGGCGGAAUGGUAGACGCUCGACACUUAAAAUGUCGCGCCCGUAAGGGCAUGAGGGUUCGACUCCCUCCCUCGACA
rnacentral:tRNA from 1 species